AGAGAGUACCAGAGCCUGGGGAAGACAGAGGGGAGAGAAAUAGUCGCACAAGAAUUGCGGUGGGUUGACUGGGACCCUCCCUCCCCCCGACCUCCAGCUGCAGCGAGGACCACGGGGAGGGGAGCGCGGUGGUGGGCGUCGCAGGGCCGGACCCGGCGCGGCUCCCCUCCGUCGCCACCUCCCACCCCGGGGACCCCUCUGGCCCGGGCGGCCGCCGGAGGCCGGGGAUGGCGGAUUCGUGCCAGAACCUCACGUACGUGCGGGACUCGGUGGGCCCGGCCACCAGCGCCCUGAUGUUCGUGGCGGGCGUGGUGGGCAACGGGCUGGCGCUGGGCAUCUUGGGGGCGCGGCGACGGUCACGCCCCUCGGCCUUCGCGGUGCUGGUCACCGGGCUGGCGGUCACCGACCUGCUGGGCACGUGCUUCCUGAGUCCGGUGGUGUUCGCGGCCUACGCCCGCAACAGCUCGCUGCUGGGCCUGGCCCGGGGCCGCCCGGCGCUGUGCGAUGCCUUCGCCUUCGCCAUGACCUUCUUCGGCCUGGCCUCCACGCUCAUCCUCUUCGCCAUGGCCGUGGAGCGCUGCCUGGCGCUCAGCCACCCCUACCUCUACGCCCGGCUGGACGGGCCGCGCCGCGCCCGCCUGGCGCUGCCCGCCAUCUACGCCUUCUGCGCCGUCUUCUGCUCGCUGCCCCUGCUGGGCCUGGGCCAACACCAGCAGUACUGCCCGGGCAGCUGGUGCUUCAUCCGUAUGCGCUCGUCCGAGCUGGGCGGCUGCGCAUUCUCGCUGGCCUACGCCAGCCUCGUGGCCCUGCUGGUGGCCACCAUCUUCCUCUGCAACGGCUCGGUCACCCUCAGCCUCUGCCGCAUGUACCGCCAGCAGAGGCGCCACCACGGCUCGCUGGUCCCCAGCCCCCGGGCGGGUGAAGACGAGGUUGACCACCUGAUUCUGCUGGCCCUCAUGACGGGCAUCAUGGCCGUGUGCUCCCUGCCUCUCACGAUCCACGGCUUCACCCAGGCCAUCGCCCCGGACAGCAGUGAGAUGGGGGACCUCCUCGCUUUCCGUUUCAAUGCCUUCAACCCCAUCCUGGAUCCCUGGGUCUUCAUCCUUUUCCGCAAGGCCGUCUUCCAGCGGCUCAAGCUCUGGUUCUGUUGCUUGUGCCUGAGGCCCGGCCCGGGCGACUUGCAGACGUCCCUCUCCCAGCCGGCCUCGGGGAGGAAGGGCUCAAGGGCCCCCACUGCUGUCGGGGGGAAGGAUGGGAGCUGGGUGCAUUCGUCAGCCUGGGGCGAGGGGCAGGGGGCACCCUUGCCUGUCCUACAGCCAUCCAGCAGCACCGUGGGAACACUGUCCAAAGUGGGGUCCGAGACAGCCUGCUCCCUCUGCUGACAUCUGCCCCGUGAUCUCCUGCCCUGUCUUCCGAGAGCAGCAGCCAGAAAUUCAGGGACUUGACCGGUGGCUGCAGGUGGACAAGCCCAGAGCUGGAUCCUGGAGCCCAGCCGGCCAGAAUGUUGACCCCCUGGAUUCAGGGGGACUUGGGAGGCCUGGUCCCCGCAGGGGAGGUGAAGAAGGGGAGACUGUUGCAUUGUGGGUGACACCACUGGACAGGUGCCUGGAAACUGCAUGGCUUGGUGAGUUGCAAGAUGUGGAUGGUGGGGCCCUGGGCUGGGGGAGAAGCUGGGGAAUGAAGCGGUGGGAGGUACAGAACCCAGGGACGGCCCAAGAACUCAAACCUAAGUCCUGUGCCUGUCCCUAUGCCCCCUCUCAGAGCCUCACUUCACCGCCUGUGUCCUGGGUACUGUCACCCAAAUGUCAUUCAUUCAUUCAUUCAUUCAACAUAGUGGUCGCUGACUCUACCAAGUGCUGGGGACACAGAGCAGUCUCGGCCCCACCCUGGGUUCCUCUGGGGUGAUUUCCAGCCUUCAAUUCCCCUUCUGAUUGCUGGGGUGAUGUCCAGCCAUCCACCCCUCCCCCCUUCUCGUUGCCAUCCCCUGCCCUCAGGUACAGAAUUCAAGGGUUUUCCAGGAGUGAACAUGAAAGGAAGUGGUGCUUCUGCUGGUGGGAGGAGGUGAAUGGGAAAGUCCCCCCAGACUCACCCCCCCAGCCCUGGGUUCCCCUUUCUCACUUGGCUUCAGGGUUAAAACAGUAAAUCUGCCCCUGGGGAGGACUGGAGGAGUAGAUGAGGCAUGAGCUUCCUAUAAAGACAAUAGCGGCAGCCAUGGAACCCGUGGCCCCUGCAGUGGGAGCCCAGAGUCCUAACCACUGGACCACCAGGGAAGUCCCUGGUCUACCUUUUUAGCUUCUUAGCUCAGAUCACUGUUGGGCUGAUGAGUUUGCUUUGGUUUCCUUUUGCGUAGAAUGGUGAUCAUAAUCUAAUACUUAGCUUACGAGGCCGUGCUGAGGAUUAAAUGAUUCCCCCGAAAAGCAGUUUAGCACAGGGCCUGGAGUAAAGCCCACAAUACGGGUUACUGUCACUGCCGUUGUUAUUGUUGUGGCUACUGUAGUGGUCUUUGGCAACUGGGCAAAUGCUGUUUGAAAACAACGCUUUUCUCCAUUGGUUUGACUUCUUCCCACCAGACAUUAUGUUUCAUUUGAAGGGGUGUCUGCGAGAGUUAAAAAUAGGUCAAACGACUGCUUAAUGGGUAUGGGGUUUCCUUUUGGGGUGAUGAAAAUGUCCUGGAACUAGAUAGUGGCGGUGGUUGUACAACGUCAUGAAUGUACUAAAUGUCACCGAAUUGUACUUUUUAAGAUGGUUAAAAGGGUACAUUUUGUGUUAUGGGUAUUUUACCACAAUAAAAAAAAAAAUGUAAUACUGAAAAAAAAAAUUGAGGAAGUUUAGAAACUUUUAUAGCAGUCUUGCCAGAGAAAUAUUGUAUCGCUUGAAUUUAUUUUUCAUUUAUUUUUAGCAUAUUUUAUUUUAUUUUAUUUAUUUAUUUUUGGCUGCGUUGGGUCUUCGU